rnacentral:rRNA from 1 species
UACGUAGGGCGCAAGCGUUGUCCGGAAUUAUUGGGCGUAAAGAGCUCGUAGGCGGCUUGUCGCGUCGGUUGUGAAAGCCCGGGGCUUAACCCCGGGUCUGCAGUCGAUACGGGCAGACUAGAGUUCGGUAGGGGAGACUGGAAUUCCUGGUGUAGCGGUGAAAUGCGCAGAUAUCAGGAGGAACACCGGUGGCGAAGGCGGGUCUCUGGGCCGAAACUGACGCUGAGGAGCGAAAGCGUGGGGAGCAAACAGG